GUCCCUUUUUUUUUUUUUUUUUUUUUUUUUAAUUUGAGGUUUUUUUAAUUAACCAGGUCCUUCGCAGGGGAAAAACCUUCAAUUUUUUUCUUAAAUUUUUAGUUUUUGUUAAAUUUCUUGGCAAGCUGUAGUUUUUCUUUGGUGCAUUUGUCAGCCGCCCUCGACAAUGAACGACCUGCUAAAGGUAAUGUAUUUGAUUUUCUUUCAUUAAUUUAUGCCAUGAUUGGUUUGUUUGGGCAUGUUUGGAGGUUUUACUGCUCUGUUUUUGUUAUGAUCCGGCCGCGUUUGAUGUUAUUGGAUCUGCUUUUUUAAUGAUUUUUUUUUUUAUUUUUUUUAUUUUGGUUUAAGGGGUUUUGGUUUUCUUAGGGUUUAGAUUGUUCUGUGUUUUAUUUCAGUUUCGUUUUUAUGAUUUUCUAUUUUUUGUAAGAAUAUCUUAUUUAAUAUUGUGAGAGUUGUGUUUUUAUGGUAUGAAAAUUGAAUCGUUGUGAUCUUAUAAGUGGUGUAACAUCAUUGCAACAUGUACGACUACAAUUAUCAAACAUGAAAUGGUUUUUGAUGGCCUUUCAUGUCCGUCCUUGCUUUGAGUUUAUCAGGGCUUAGCUAGGUGAGAGGUUUAAAGCUUGACCAUGGUAUACUUAUGGGUCUUCUCAGCUUUUCCCUCUUGCCUUUGUGCUUGGGAGCUGCUGCCUCUCUAUUUUUUGCUCAUUUUUUCAUGUUUUGUUUACGGCGGUCUCUAGGUGUACGGAACUCAUCCUUCAAUUUCAUUUAGAUUAUCUGAAGCAAGGCUCCAACCAAAGUUCAUAAACACAGUUAUCCAUUUUGUGAAAGAAAAAAAAAACCUAUUUCAAGUGACUUCUUGUGUUUGGUAUCUACAGAAACAUGAAUAGUAUCUGUUUGGAUAUGCCUGUUGCUGGAUAGCUUCUGCUAGCUGAAUGUAAUUUCUGUUUUGGCAUUGAUCAGACUUGAUUGCUUUCGGGUUUUGACUACUUUUGAAAAAAUGGGAAAUCAGGCCACAUUCUCAGCUCCAGACAUAUGGUCCUACGCUACCUGUUUGUGAUCAUCUUUGUGUAUGUGCAAUGCAGAUUAUUAUCAAGAUUGUAAAAAGAAACAAACAACAUAUGCAUGAAGAUUUUAUAAGGUACAAAGAACCAAUCAUGUUACCUUAUGUCUUUCCUGAAAUGCCUGUUUAAAUUUGUUCGUUUUGAAAAUGAGUCAACCAAACCAUUUUCUGUAUCUUCCCCAGCAGGAACCAUUGUCCUUGACAAAAUGCAGUAGUAUUGAAGCUAAAUAUGAUAAGGUUACAUUCA